GAAUUUCCGGUGUAGCGGUGAAAUGCGUAGAGAUGGGAAGGAACACCAGCGGCGAAGGCGACUCUCUGGUCUGUCACUGACGCUGAGAGCGAAAGCUAGGGGAGCGAACGGGAUUAGAUACCCCAGUAGUCUAGCCGUAAACGAUGAGUGCUAGGUGUUAGUGCGUUUCGACCCCCGCAGUGCUGCAGCUAACGCAUUAAGCACUCCGCCUGGGGAGUACGGUCGCAAGAAUGAAACUCAAAGGAAUUGACGGGGGCCCGCACAAGCGGUGGAGCAUGUGGUUUAAUUCGAAGCAAAGCGAAGAACCUUACCAGGUCUUGACAUCCUGCGACAAUUCUAGAGAUAGGGGGUCCCCUUCGGGGGCAGAGACACAGGUGGUGCAUGGUUGUCGUCAGCUCGUGUCGUAAGAUGUUGGGUUAAGUCCCGCAACGAGCGCAACCCUUGAUUUUAGUUGCCAGCAUUCAGUUGGGCACUCUAAGCAGACUGCCGGUGACAAACCGGAGGAAGGUGGGGAUGACGUCAAAUCAUCAUGCCCCUUAUGACCUGGGCGACACACGUGCUACAAUGGACAGAACAAAGGGCAGCGAAACCGCGAGGUUAAGCCAAUUCCACAAAUCUGUUCUCAGUUCGGAUUGCAGUCUGCAACUCGCCUGCAUGAAGCCGGAAUCGCUAGUAAUCGCGGAUC
rnacentral:rRNA from 2 species